rnacentral:rRNA from 1 species
AUUGACCGCUGGCGGCAGGCCUAACACUUGCAAGUCGAGCGAACGGCGGACGGGUGCGUAAUGUAUGGGGACUGCCCGAUAGAGGGGGAUAACUACCUGAAACGGUUGCUAAUACCCGCUCCUGUCGGAUAACCCAUAUGGGAUUAGCUAGUAGGUAAGGUAAUGGCUUACCUAGGCGACGAUCCCUAGCUGGUCUGAGAGGAUGAUCAGCCACACUGGGACUGAGACACGGCCCAGACUCCUACGGAGGCAGCAGUGGGGAAUAUUGCACAAUGGGCGCAAGCCUGAUGCAGCCAUGCCGCGUGUAUGAAGAAGGCCCUAGGGUUGUAAAGUACUUUCAGUCGGGAGGCGUUACCGACAGAAGAAGCACCGGCUAACUCCGUGCCAGCAGCCGCGGUAAUUC